UUUCUAUCUCACAUAUAAAUGGGGUCUCUCUUUUUUCUCUUCUCCCCUUGACUCCGUUCUUGUUCCGUGUUCGACUAUCACAGCUCGAUCUCCGACUUCCCGUAAGAACCUCAGAACACCAAUACCUCCCAGCGGCGAUGUCUCUAUCAUAAUUGAAGUGCAUAUAAAGAGCAAAAACAGAAUGAUUGGCCUUGGAUUUUGAUUCACCUCAAGCCUUCUUUCUUCUAGAUUUGCAGUAUUCAUGGGGCUGGAAUGGACCCUAGUCCAUCGAACAGUGUCGAGAGGUGUAGGAGGAAGUGCCUAUUAGAGCAAGCAUUCUUUUCUGAAGUAAAGCUAGAGAGAAGGAUGAGGCUGGGAGGUCUAUGUUUUAGCAAGGAUUGAUUGUAGGCAGAGUAGUGAAUGUUGGGCAUAUUUGUUCGUUUGUUCCAAUGCCUUUGACAAUACAAGGAUACUGGAGAAGGCUCUGAAUGCUUUAAAUUAUCCAAUUGCAGUACCUGUGAUUCUUCUCUCAGCCCUUAAAUAUCAAGUCUUCCCAGAGAAGUGGACAAACUUCUAUUUGCCCUUUUGGCUUCUCUUAGCCAUUUUGAACUCUUUGUACUCAUUUUACUGGGAUGUGACUAGAGAUUGGGACUUGAGGUUUGAAGAUGGUAUUGAAAAAUAGAGGAACUGGAAGCCAAGUUUGCAACAUAUGAAAAAGCAAUAUAUGUUCCCCAUGUGAUAAUGGUAUUAUGGAUGCUGAAGAUGAAGAAAAUGAGGAGGAUUUUGGCAUUAAGCGUAUUAGGUUUUCAUAAGUUACUAUUCAUUAGGACGUUGUCUAUCUUAUAUUCACACAUGAAUGUCCUUAAGUAGUUCCAGAUUUUAUUUCUAGUUGAAGACUAAUGAAGCAAAUUUAUGAAAGUGCUCAAGUUUUUCAUCUUA